rnacentral:rRNA from 1 species
AGAUUAGCUUGCUUUAGUUGUCAGCUAAGUGGCGCACGGGUGAGUAAUGUAUAGAUAACCUGCCCUCUGGAAAGGAAUAACAGUUGGAAACGACUGCUAAUGCCCUAUAUGCCUUUAAUACAUAAGUAUGCAAGGGAAACGCUUUAGUGCUAGAGGAUGGGUCUGUAUGGUAUCAGUUAGUUGGUGAGGUAAUGGCUCACCAAGACUAUGACGCCUAACUGGUUUGAGAGGAUGAUCAGUCACACUGGAACUGAGACACGGUCCAGACUCCUACGGGAGGCAGCAGUGGGGAAUAUUGCACAAUGGACGAAAGUCUGAUGCAGCAACGCCGCGUGGAGGAUGACACAUUUCGGUGCGUAAACUCCUUUUAUAUAGGAAGAUAAUGACGGUACUAUAUGAAUAAGCACCGGCUAACUCCGUGCCAGCAGCCGCGGUAAUACGGAGGGUGCAAGCGUUACUCGGAAUCACUGGGCGUAAAGAGCGUGUAGGCGGGUAUAUAAGUCAGAAGUGAAAUCCUAUAGCUUAACUAUAGAACUGCUUUUGAAACUGUAUACCUAGAAUGUGGGAGAGGUAGAUGGAAUUUCUGG